UACGUAGGGGGCAAGCGUUGUCCGGAAUCAUUGGGCGUAAAGCGCGUGUAGGCGGCUCGAUAAGUCUGCUGUGAAAGUCCAGGGCUCAACCCUGGAAUGCCGGUGGAAACUGUCGAGCUAGAGUCCGGAAGAGGCGAGUGGAAUUCCUGGUGUAGCGGUGAAAUGCGUAGAUAUCAGGAGGAACACCGGUGGCGAAGGCGGCUAUCUGGACAGAGUCUGACGCUGAGGCGCGAAAGCUAGGGGAGCAAACAGG
rnacentral:rRNA from 1 species